UUGUGACUAUUUGUUCUUGUGAGAAAAAAUUAUAGACUUUGUAUUCUGACCGCAUUGACUUGCAUGGAAACCGGAUAUGGAAACACCUAUACUGGAGCCAACCGCAGUGGCGCUAGUGAGCAACGUCUCUCAACAAGACCAGGAAGUACGCUUCAAAAACGAAGUCUGGUUUUGGCUGGUUUUUGAGUCAGAGAUAUAAGGCAUUUUCUCUAAGGACGCACUGAUUGAUUGACCACUGAUCGUUAUCAGCUGAUAAUACUGCUAAUGUUUUUGCUAGUUCGAAAAGAACCAAUUGUCAGUUUCGAUUAUGUCCUGUCAAUCAAAAAAUUGUAUAUUUGUAACAGUGUAAAUAUUAAUCUUGUAGUAUUAUAGUUAAAUUCAUUUUUAAUUUGGGCACACCAACCAUUUUUUUGGUAGGCCUUUUAUUUUAUAAACGGUGCAUCUAGUUUUGUCGAUGGUAGGCUUUUAUUUUAUGGUAUAUUCCGGUGCACUGUGGGUAACCUACAGCAGUGUAGGAUUGCCAUGCAGCGGAGUGAGCAAGCUGUGCUGAACCACUUAUUCACCUUCCUGAACAGACUGAUUGUGUGUGUCCCAUUACAGGUAUGAUCAUGUGUUUGUUAUAUUAACCAUUUGGCUCACGUUCACCAUUUUAAUAAGUAGGCCUAAAGGCUGUUCAUUCGCGUUUGUCGACUGGAAUAUGCCUGCUUCUGUAACAUUCCCGAGGGUGGCAGCAGAGGACCAUUUGUAAAUUAAUUAUUCCCUUGUUAAAAAAACGUAUGGGCAUUCAGAGCAUAGGAUUAAAUGACAGUCAUUUUAAUAUAUUUUAUUUUAUUUCAUUUGUAAGUUUAUUUUAUUUAGAUUAUAUUACUAUACGAUCACAAUGUAAAGACUACAAUGUUAAGUUUUUCAAGCCAACAGGGUAACCUACAGCAGUGUAGGAUUGCCAUGCAGCGGAGUGAGCAAGCUGCAAACUUAUUUACCUUCCUGAACAGACUGGUUGUGUGUGUCCCAUUACAGAAUAAAAUACUUGAAUGUUCCAUCCACCUUGACUCCUGUGCCGUGUAUGAAGCAGUAAGCAGAACGAGGGAACAGAGUGGUCGCAUAUUGUUUAUUUGUAAUUCAAGAGGUGGUUUUCAUUUGCCUCUCAGACUCAAAAUAAUUACACUUCGUCUUCCAUGUUAAGUGUUUCCCCUGUAAUUAGACAGAGCUAGUUGGCUGCCAGGGAAAACAUGCUUUUUUUGGAAAUAAAUUGGGAUGGCAGGUAUGUCAUUCCGCCAAGUUAUGCUUUGGUGGGGCGGCAUGCCCCAUAUACCUAUACAGCACCGAGAGUUUGGCACUUUUCAGGGUUUCCUACAGAAAUAACCACAACAAGACUCUCAGCCCUUAAAAACAUUAUGGUUAAAAGGCAUAAAUGAAGCAGGACAUUUGUACAAUUUACAAUACCAAGUUCGAUUAGUUUAUAUUCAUAUAUAAAUAAAGGGGCACAAAUGCAAUUGUCUGCUCUUUUUUUUAGUUUGCAAUGAAAUAAUGAGAGAUCCCAUAUAUAAACCAGGUUAAACUAUACAUAUCCUGGAUCAAAAACUCCUUGACCACAAGUACGUAAAAUCUAAGUGUGGAUAUGCAGAACUACUAAAGAUUUAUGAAGCAAAAAGUAAGCAGUGUACCCAGUGUCUCCAAAUCUAUCCAAAAUGUCUUAAUUAUGCAUUGCUGUAAAUCAGAACACAAUCAUGUAUUAUUUCACUGCAAAUCAACUGUUCUGACUCAAGAAACUCACCAUUGCAUCAUUCUCAAGUGGGAUUUCUGGCUUUCUGUCAGUCAGAGGUCUAAAAUAUAAGGGACCAAAUGCAUAUCCAAAAUCUCCAAAAAUGAAUAAAAUGCUUUUUGUCCAUUAUAAAGCAUAUAAAUGUGGCCCUUAUGAAGGUAUAAGAUGAAACAUUGAUAUCAGAUUUAAAAAUAAUGCAAGAACAUUAUCACACAAUGUGGUACAGUACCUAAAUGUGUAAUCAUUGACGCGUAUGCUCUUCUGUACUCUACAGUAUUGUUUGUAAUGUUUACUUGUAUGGGGAUGGGAUGACAUUAAAACAAUAUUUAACUGUCCACCACAUUUUGGCAAUGUUCCAACUCAUGUCACAUCCAAUGCAAUGUCUUCUGAGGUCCACUUUGUGUGUUUUUUUAGGUUUAUACAGAAUUUUGAUAUGCUUAGCUGUAGCUAGUACUACUCUUUGCUCUCUUCCUCAACUCACUUGCUGACCUUACAAGGUAGACACUUGACAUUAGACAAUAGCAUACACAGACAUAUUUCCCAGCAACCUUUGCACAUCAGAAAAUAGUAGUACCAAAGAAAUUACCACAAAUUAUUUAAUUGAAUAGUUUAAACAAUAUGUUUUCUGCAGAAUGAGCAUAUAGGCUAAGUUUGACAUAAUCACAAACUAUUGUACAAAGAACGUGUACUAACCAUGACAGAGAUAAGUUUGCUUAUUGAAUCAUAUAUAAAACAGGCGACACCAGAUAGACUUGUAUUUUGUGAUGUUCAACAAGAAACUCAAACGUAAUGAAGAGCUUGUGCAUGAAAGUCAUUUUUUCGUGGAACUUAAUGCUAGUUAUGAAAGUGUUUGUUGUUUUUAAAUGUGCAUGUUUUUAAUGGGGUGUUGUAGACAUGUCAGACGUAAUUGUUUGUAUGUCGGUAGAAAAUAGGGCUAGCUAACAUGAAUUUAAAGAUGUGGCGUUUAAGCAGUUAAACAGCAGAAACACCACAGCGUAAGACCAAUAUCAAUAUCUGUCGUCAUGAAAUGCAUAUGGCGCCCUGUUCAUGACGUUUGGUAGACAUAUGCAUUGGACAUUCUGAUAUAAUUUGAAUGUCGAUAAGGGAAUGAAGUUAUAAACACCUAGUUAAAUGGGCAUGAAUGGCUUUGCAAUAAGAAGACGUUCUUUAAUGCAUCAUUUGCUCGUGCUUUUAAAGAAGGCAGCACAGUAAGUACAAUUUAGCUCUGGUUUUAUUCACGUUGCAACUAAAUGUAGCUGGUUAACCAAAUAACUAGAUGGUAAGGCAUGAUACAGUGUAUACGUACAGUUGCAAAAGCAAGUUUAAAAGUAAUAAAGAAUUAUUAGUUAGCAAAUAAACAUGCAUAACGAAUGAAAGCUUUAUCUGAGCCUCAGAUGGGACUCAAACAUCUGCUUCAACAGUCCAAAGGCAGGGACAUUACCAGUGAGCCACCAAUGAACUAGUAGCAACAGCCGUGAAUUAUCAUGGUGAAGAAUGCAUAUGUCAAUUUUGCGUGUGUAUGUGAUGUUUUGAUUGGCUGGUGUAGGUAAAUGUUCAAUGGGGAGACAUAAUGUUCGUGGGCUCGGAGCAUUUGUGAUGAUGUAAUCAGGCAGGAAAAAGAAGAAGAAGAUGGAGGAGUAAACGUGAAUCCCCUAAGUUCGGGCCUUAUUGUGUGGACGUGUGAAGUUGUUUGUGAUUUCUGUCUGUACAUGAGGUCAGAAGGUACAUUAAUUAAUGUUUUUAAGGGCUGAGUGUCUGUGGUCAUUGUAGUUAUAUUUGCAAGAAACCCUGAAAACUGCCAAACUCUUGGUGCUGUAUAGGUAUGAGGCAUGCUGCCCCGCCAAUGCGUAACCUGACAUCCCAAUUUAUUUCCAAAUGAAUAGAUAUUUGCAGUUACCUGUAUUUUCGGCAUCUUAAAAAAGCAUGUUGUUGACUGGCGGCCAACCAGCUCUGCCUAAUUAUAGGGGAAACGCUCAAUAUGGAAGAUAUCAUUAUUUCUUGAUUGACAGGACAUAAUCAAAGCUUUCUUUAAUAUAUCUAUACAUUUUUUUCUAAAGUCAAGUCAGUUUAUUUAUAAAGCAUAUUUAAAAACAACAGAAGUGCUGUACAAAGAUAAAAAGAUACAUAAAUUACAUAAAAUAAAAGGUAUAAAAUACAAUACACAAAGACUACACAUGCCAGACAUUAAGAUUCAUAUGCCAAUGUAAAAAGGUAUGUCUUAAUGCGGGAUUUAAAAGAGUCAAUGGAGGGGGAAGACCUAAUAAAAAAUGGCAGACUAUUCCAAAGCCUUGGGGCAGCAUUGGAGAAGGCACGAUCGCCCUUGGUUUUUAACCAGGACCGAGGAACAGACAGGGGCAGUUGGUCAGAGGAUCUAAGAGGCCUGGAGGUGGAAUAGGGGCAAAGGAGGUCAGAAAUAUAAUGUGGUGCCAAACCAUGUAGUGCUUUAAAAACAAAUAAUAAAGCCUUAAAAUCGAUUCUGUAUUUGACAGGCAGCCAGUGAAGAGAAGUCAGAAGCCAGAACCUCUUCCUGGUGCCAGUCAGGAGCCUAGCAGCUGCAUUUUGCACUAACUGCAGCCGAGAUAGGGAUGACUGAUUGACUCCCAUGUAAAGGGAAUUACAGUAAUCGAUACGUGAGGAAAUGAAAGCAUAUAGGACAAUCUCCAGAUCCUUAAAUGAGAGGAAGGAUUUUAACUUUGCAAUGGCUCUAAGCUGGAAGAAGCUACCAUGCACAACAGAGUUGAUUUGUUUGUCAAACCUUAGGGCCAAAUCAAAGAUAACACCAAGAUUUUAGCAUGUGUAUGUACAUUUGAGGACAAGGGUCCUAGGUUGGUGACUAAACCUCUGGUGGAGUCAGGUGGACCAAACAUAAUAACCUCUGUCUUAUUCUCAUUAAGUUGAAGAAAGUUUUUCGCCAUCCAACUUUUACCGUCCUCAAGGCAAUCAAGGACAGAUUUUAUUGAAAGAUCAUCACCAGGUUUCAGCGGAAGGUGUAACUGUGUAUCAUCAGCGUAACAAUGGUAGGAAAUACUAUGCUUACAAAAAAUAGAACCAAGGGGGAGCAUAUACAAAGAAAAUAAAAUAGGACCUAAAAUAGAACCUUGAGGUACUCCACAAGUGAUAGGUGCCGUGGAGGAAGAAGAGUUCCCUAUUUUAACAGAAAAUGUUCUAUGAUUUAAGUAGGACACAAACCACAGUACCCUGAAUACCAACCUCAUGCUUAAGGCAGUCCAAGAGUACAGAGUGAUCAACUGUGUUGAACACAGCACUAACAUCCAUCAGAAUUAAAAUAGUACAGCUGCCUGAAUCAAUGGACAGGAGUAGAUCAUUAGACACCUUAAGGAGAGCCGACUCAGUGCUAUGGUGUGGCCUAAAUCCUGACUGAAAUUUUUCUAAAAUGUAAUUUUCAUUUAAAUGGGAAGAAAGCUGGGAAAAAACAACCUUUUCCAGAACCUUUGAUAAAGAUGGCAGUUUAGAGAUGGGUCACAAAUUGCUAAAAACUGGUGGGUCUAGGUUGGGCUUUUUAAUAAGAGGGUAGACCACUGCAUGUUUAAAGCAGGAUGGAACAAAGCCAUUUACUAGGCAGCUAUUUAUUAUUGACAGAAUACUGGGGCCAGUAGUGUCCAACACUUCUCUAAGGAGACGUGGGGGAAUAAUAGCUGAGGAGGUAAGACCGAUUGUCUGGCAGUUGGAGGCUUGCCGGUUCAAACCCCGCCCUGGGCAUGUCGAAGUGUCCUUGAGCAAGACACCUAACCCCUAACUGGUCUGGCGAAUGAGAGAUUUGGAUAAAAGCGCUAUAUAAAUGCAGCCCAUUUACCAUUUACCAUAAUGUCCAGGGGCAGGUAGUAGGCUUCAUGUGUGAGACUAUAUCAAGCAGAUGAGAAAGAGAGACCGGUUCAAACUUGUUAAGAAAAACAGGAGAAAUUAUCAAAUCAGACGGAUCAUAAGUGGGAGGUAAGAUCUGAGAUCUUAUACUGUCAAUCUUAUCAGCAAAGAAGUUCAAAAAGUCUUCACACGCCUGAGGAGUUGGAUCAGGACAGGCAGUGACAACAGGGCUAAUAGCUGUGUUCAUUGUGCCAAAAAGAACUCUGGGAUUAUGUGAGUUUUUAGAAAUAAUAUUAGAAAAAUAUAUGGCCCUUUCUGUUUUGACAGAGUGCUGGUAUUUAGCUAAGAAGUCUCUUAGAAUUUCAUAGGACACUUGUAGCUUGUCUUUUUUCCAUUUACGCUCAGAUUUCCUGCACUCCUCUCUAUGGGCAUGAGUGGCAUAAUUUAGCCAGGGCUGAGCUCAAACUUUAGGUCUCCUAGUUUUUAGAGGGGCAACAGAGUUUAAAAUAUCAGCACAGGUGGAAUUGAACAUAGUGACCAUCUCUUCUCUGCCCAGGCAGGGUGGGGAGGCCUCAAUAGUGCUGGUUUGGGGAGCAGCUAGGUAGGCGUCAGAGAACUGCCUGGCAGUGGAAGGGGUAAUGGAACAAGAACAAUUUACAGGCAAGAGAGAUUUAUGAGUUGGACAUGGGAAUGUGGCAUCAAACACGAUAGGCCUGUGAUCAGACAGACAAACAUCAUCUACAACAAGAUUGGAGACAGGAAAGCCAAGUGUUAAAACAAGGUCGAGAGUAUGACUAUGCUGAUGUGUGGGGCCCAUAACUGACUGCACCAAAUUAAACAAGUUUAAUUUAAAACUCGAUUUAAAAACUCACCAACCAAAGGCUUAGAUGGGCAACAAAUAUGGAUGUUAAAAUCACCAAGAAUCAAAAUAUUAUCGGACUUGGGCAUAAUAAAAGAUAAGAAGUCUGAAAAUUCUCUAACAAAGUCCUUAUUGGACUUAGGAAGCCGAUACACAAGAGCACAGAGCACAGGGUUAGAAAUUUCCAUCUUACACAGUUGUACUUUGAAGCUAGGAUAUUUUUCAACAGGCAAUAAACAGCAUUUAAAACGAUCACUGUUAAAAACUGCUGCCAGGCCCCCACCCCUACCAGUGAGCUAGGGGGAGUUAAGAUAACUGCAGUUGGGAGGGCAUAGCUCAAUAAGAGGGCUAUUUAGCCCUGGGCUUAGCCAAGUUUCAGUUAAAAAUAAAAAGUCUAAAUUCCGGCUUGAAAUAAAAUCAUUUAAAAUAAACGACUUAUUAGAAACUGACCUGACAUUUAAAAGAGCCAUCUUAGUGUGGUGUACAGUCUGAGGGUUUUCUAAACAUUUAACAAGAUUAGUAUGACUGUGUGUCUUAUUUAAGAACGACCUUGCAUUAACAAGUGUAGAUUGAGGAGGCUGUAAAAACAGUUAUCGUUUGCAGGGAAUAUGGAUCAGGUAGCAGGAGUUGCCACGGGAGGGGGGAUGAUUUAUGGGGUUACGGACCAUGAUAACCGUAGUGAUGGGAUACAUUUUUUGACAUCCUAGCCCCUUGGGGGAGCUGGCUAGAACAGGAGAGGAUACGGGGCCAGGAACAGACGUGUGCGAUAUAAAUAGCCAGUCACGUGGGGCGGACAGCACACCAUGCAAGAGAUUAGCUCCUAGUAAGCUGCUGCCUAGCCUGUUCGGGUGCAAACCAUCUCUUGUAAACAGAGAAGAGCGGCCCCAGAAUAAGUUAAAAUUGUCAAUAUAGCAAAUGUUGUGGGCACCACAUGCAGGCUGGAGCCAGGUAUGGAGGCUGAGGAUCCUACUAAAACGGCAGAUUCCACGUCCUAACGUGGGAAUUGGACCGGAGAUAAAAACAGCUUUCCUACAACUAUUUAGGAAAUUAAAAAGACGGAUAAAAUCAGCUUUCGUCAACUCAGACUGCUGGAGGGACAUAUCAUUCGUGCUGACAUGUACAAUAACUUUUUUAAUGGAUGGGAGACUAUCCAAUAAGCCGGGAAGCUUCUCGAGUAGGUCGAGAGCAGUAGCUAGGAAAGGAGUGUGUGAUCGCAUUUGCGUACCUGAUGUCCCGGACUAUGGAAUCUCCUAUGAAUAGGGUAGUAGGGAGGAUAAGAGGAGGGGGGGGUAGAUGUCCGUGGGGUAGCAGUCAGUGGUGGGGGCCACACACCAGUUGACCCAGCAGGAGGCAUGCACGCAUUCGUAGAACGGACAGCACGAGAAACCGACCGGUGGUAAAGUUGGCAAUCCUGUGUACCCCGGCUUCCAGCGGUGGCCAGUGGGAAGGGUUAGCUGUCUCGACACGGCUACAGGCGGAGUGGGAGGCAGGACGAAGUCAGCCUGAGAUGGAGGAGGCAGUGAAGACGGUGAAGGAGAUGAAGGGGAGCAGGGUCCAACCAGCGGGGGAAAUCCUGCGCCUCCAGAAUGCUGAAUCUGUUUGACAGCUGCAGACCAGGAGGAGCUGGAACUGGAGGAGAAUUAGAGCUAGGAUUCCUUCCAUGAUUUCCCCUGCGGACCACAGACCAAGAACCCGUUUGAUAUGGGGUGGAGUUGACCGGGGCUUUGGCCUGGCCCCCAGCUUAAUCCAUGGGACGUCAGCCUGGGUUGAAACGACCGGAACAGUGGAAUCCAGUUCUCCGCCAUGCAAGGUCGUAGCAGGACCUGGUGCGACCAGGGAAUCAAGGAGUCUUGUCUUAUCUGGUGGAGUAGGGAGAUUCUCCCCUCCAUCUCGGCAAUCUUCUGACUCAGGCGAAGGCAGCUGUUGCAUCCGAAGGGGGAGGUGAGUGUUGGCAUGUUGAGGAUACGCGGGGGCUCCACAACGGGAGCCCAACUUAUUAGUAGACGUAGACGAUACACGACAACUAUGCCGAAUACUGAGUUUCGCAGCGCCACCAUUGUCGUUCUGGUCGUUCAUUUACCAAGCACCCCCUCCCUGCAGUCUCAUCUGCAAGUACACCCGCCACCCAUGACAUAAUGGACAAUAUUGUCUAUCUGAGCAUUCAUAAAAAUAUUCUUUCACCACUCAAAAAUCGUAUUCCAUCAUAGCAACAAGAUAAAUCCGACAAUAGAUAAGAUACAGCAGUGAUAUGCCAAUACAGCAGUGAAAACGUUGUUCACUGAAUUACGAAAUAAACAAGACAAUGUUUUCAAAAAUGAUACCAUGUCAUUCUACGGUCAAUAUCUGGGACUAAAUAUUGAAUAAAUAUACAACCUUACCAUUGGUUUUACGCGUAGAGAUGUCCCUUUUGAGACUGAGUGGUCAUGUCUUGGAAAAUUUGUUUGUGAACUAUAGGCACAUUUGUGAAGCCUGGGUACCUUCCAAAAUAGCUGUGCGUAAUACCACACCUGUUGUUUAUCACAUUGUUGCCCUUUUUAGUACAGACUGGCUUGAUUGACAAUUCAUUUAUUCAGUAGGGGAGAGUACAAGCUUUCUAACGACGUAUAACAUGUCUAAUUUUGCUUUUGGAAUAGCGUUUUAUAGGUCAGCGUAACCGAAAAUGUUCUCAUCAUCGCAUUCACUUAUGCAUUCACUCAUACAUUCACUCUGUGGUAGUAGUAAAAGACGCUGCACCUGACGAAACGUUGUCAAAGUGUUUUCGUAAUUUCUUGGAAAAUACUAUUAUUAUUGAGGACUUCUGGGCAUAGCUAAGCCAUAUGUUUGCUGAUAGACCUAGCUGACAUCGUUUUCUGGAGUAAGACAGAACCAGAACCUGCUGCUGAUGGCGGACCUGAUGAAGCCACUGUGUGCACUGAAGGAACCGCACCAGCUGUCAGUCUCACCCGGUCCUGGCUUCGACAUCCCAUCCUGAACUCCAUCAUAUCGCCGGGAAGAUAAUCCUCCAGUCUAAAAUGAGCACUACACACGACCACGUUUUUUGUAACAAAUGCAGCAGUGAAGUCCCGUCUCUUCACCUGCACAAAACACACCCAGGCACGAAAGCUAGCACCGUUCCUUUUCCUGUUAGGAAAAAUGUGUGCUCGAUGUCCUGACAGGCUGGAGUAUGUGCAACCUGCACAAACACCAUAAUUGACCAGAAUGAUACACGGUGAAAUGCAAUAUAAAACUGCUUUAAAAAGACCAACUCACUAUAUCAUGACCGCUCAGACUCACUACCACCUACUACUGCACAUUGGGCUAAGGCAGGCAGACUCCCUUUUGUUACGUAAUAUGACGCAAUGUUGAAAAAAGGGCGUUUUUAGGAGCUUUGCUGAAAACUGCCACUACUUCCUCUGAAUUUGUGCCCUUAUGUCUUGUAAAAAUGAUUAAAUCCUGCAUUAACUUUUCAAAUGGUCAUUUUCAGACAAGGUUAAGUAUACAUUUCGUAAAAAAUUUUACCUGCAAGAUGCACUUUAAGGAAAUAAAGUAGAUACCCUAAUUGACUUAACACAGGAAAUGUAUGGCAACAUGAAAUGUGUGGAGUUGUGAAAAAUUGAGUUUGAAUGUCUUUAGCCAAGGUGUAUGUAAACAUUUUGCCUCAACUAUACAACUUCCCUCCCACGUCUGGUUUUUAUCUAAAUACAAAUACAGAUACAAAUAAAUUUGUUGGUUGAAGAAAUACAGAUACAAACAUGAAUAGUGGCAUCUCCCUCCACCCCUUCAUCUUUAGAUUAUACAUUGUAUAAUGUUGUAAUGGUUAUAAUGGUUAAACACACCAAGGUGGCCCUAUGGAGUUGACACACUACAUUACAUUUAUUUAGCAGACGCUUUUAUCCAAAGCGACGUACAAAAGUGCAUAUCAUGGUCAUUGGAACAACUACAAAUACAGGUUUGAUAAAACCUAGGUAGCUUAGCAUUAAGUGUCAAGCUUGCAUCAACGGAGCGGACACACCAGUUAGCUUUGCCUCAAGUGUGAAGCUGGCCCUAUGGAGUUGACAUACUUGGUAGCUUAGCAUCAAGUGUCUAGCUGACCAUAACCCUGUCUUCUCUGUUUCUCUUUCUCUUUCCAUGGGGCUUCCAUCCCCUACCUCACCCUGAGUCCAAAGACCACUCCAGCCUGUUUCCUCGGCCUGAAUCCAAAGGAUUGCUCCAGUCCUGUCCUUCGCUCAAUGGUCAUGGACUGCUUCAGCCGUGUUCCUCCCUUGCCUAUGCCUUGAUGCUGUCUGGAGCUCUAGAUCCAUCAUCCAGCUCCUCUAAACUGCACUAUUCUAACUAUACCAUUUGGUAUUGUACUAUUCCUGUUAGCCUUCACCUCAGCUGUAACUGACCCAUUCAACCCAUUUUAUUUGCUGUCUGCUACUUUACACCAGGCUGGCCAGUGGAGGAUGGGCUCCCCCUCUAUAGCCGGGUUCCUUGUUAAGUUCGGAUUUACAGUCACUUUAUUCUAUUUCCAAUACAGCUCUACCUGUUAAAUGCAUCUGCGCAUGUGCAUUAGCGCGUCUUUGUUGAACUGGAGUUGCAAUGACAAAGGUAUAAAUUAGUUCUUGUUUUGUGCUAACAAGUAAAGUGAGUAAAACUAUAAAGUUGUCAUUAUUAUGUUAACAUUCCUCUUAAGAUUUCUUCCCAUUGGUAAGUUUUUUCUUGCCACCGUUUGAGGGUUUUCUCCCGUCCCCACUGGGAGUUUUUUUUACCUUAUGUACCUGCCAUUUGGGGGUUCAGACCUGGUGUUUGGUCUGUUUGCUCUUUUUUCUCUGCCUCUUGCCUUGCUACUCUGUAAAGUGUCUUUGUGACAGUUCUCUGUAAAAAAGCACUAUACAAAUAAAAUUGAAUUGAACUGAA